UACGAAGGGGGCUAGCGUUGCUCGGAAUCACUGGGCGUAAAGCGCACGUAGGCGGAUCUUUAAGUCAGGGGUGAAAUCCUGGAGCUCAACUCCAGAACUGCCUUUGAUACUGGGGAUCUCGAGUCCGGAAGAGGUGAGUGGAAUUCCGAGUGUAGAGGUGAAAUUCGUAGAUAUUCGGAGGAACACCAGUGGCGAAGGCGGCUCACUGGUCCAUUACUGACGCUGAGGUGCGAAAGCGUGGGGAGCAAACAGGG
rnacentral:rRNA from 1 species